rnacentral:rRNA from 1 species
AUUGAACGCUGGCGGCAUGCUUUACACAUGCAAGUCGAACGGUGACAGGCCGCAAGGUGCUGACGAGUGGCGAACGGGUGAGUAAUGCAUCGGAACGUGCCCAGUCGUGGGGGAUAACGCAGCGAAAGCUGUGCUAAUACCGCAUACGAUCUGUGGAUGAAAGCGGGGGACCGAAAGGCCUCGCGCGAUUGGAGCGGCCGAUGUCAGAUUAGGUAGUUGGUGGGGUAAAGGCUCACAAAGCCAACGAUCUGUAGCUGGUCUGAGAGGACGACCAGCCACACUGGGACUGAGACACGGCCCAGACUCCUACGGGAGGCAGCAGUGGGGAAUUUUGGACAAUGGGCGCAAGCCUGAUCCAGCAAUGCCGCGUGCAGGAAGAAGGCCUUCGGGUUGUAAACUGCUUUUGUACGGAGCGAAAAGGCUCUCUCUAAUACAGGGGGCUCAUGACGGUACCGUAAGAAUAAGCACCGGCUAACUACGUGCCAGCAGCCGCGGUAACAC